UGGGGAAUAUUGCACAAUGGGCGCAAGCCUGAUGCAGCCAUGCCGCGUGUAUGAAGAAGGCCUUCGGGUUGUAAAGUACUUUCAGCGAGGAGGAAGGCGUUGUGGUUAAUAACCGCAGCGAUUGACGUUACUCGCAGAAGAAGCACCGGCUAACUCCGUGCCAGCAGCCGCGGUAAUACGGAGGGUACAAGCGUUAAUCGGAAUUACUGGGUGUAAAGCGCACGCAGGCGGUCUGUCAAGUCGGAUGUGAAAUCCCCGGGCUCAACCUGGGAACUGCAUCCGAAACUGGCAGGCUAGAGUCUUGUAGAGGGGGGUAGAAUUCCAGGUGUAGCGGUGAAAUGCGUAGAGAUCUGGAGGAAUACCGGUGGCGAAGGCGGCCCCCUGGACAAAGACUGACGCUCAGGUGCGAAAGCGUGGGGAGCAAACA
rnacentral:rRNA from 1 species